GACGAACGCUGGCGGCGUGCUUAACACAUGCAAGUCGAACGGUAAGGCCCUUCGGGGUACACGAGUGGCGAACGGGUGAGUAACACGUGGGUGAUCUGCCCUGCACUUCGGGAUAAGCCUGGGAAACUGGGUCUAAUACCGGAUAGGACCACUGCCUGCAUGGGUGGUGGUGGAAAGCUUGUGCGGUGUGGGAUGGGCCCGCGGCCUAUCAGCUUGUUGGUGGGGUGAUGGCCUACCAAGGCGACGACGGCUAGCCGGCCUGAGAGGGUGACAGGCAACACGGGGACUGAGAUUCGGCCCAGAUUCCUACGGGAGGCAGCAGUGGGGAAUAUUGCACAAUGGGCGCAAGCCUGAUGCAGCGACGCCGCGUGAGGGAUGACGGCGUUCGGGUUGUAAACCUCUUUCAGCACCGACGAAGCGCAAGUGACGGUAGGUGCAGAAGAAGGACCGGCCAACUACGUGCCAGCCGCCGCGGUAA
rnacentral:rRNA from 1 species